rnacentral:rRNA from 1 species
UACGAAGGGGGGCUAGCGUUGUUCGGAAUUACUGGGCGUAAAGCGCGCGCAGGCGGUUCUCCAAGUCAGUGGUGAAAGCCCGGAGCUCAACUCCGGAACUGCCAUUGAAACUGUUGAACUUGAGGACGAGAGAGGUGAGUGGAAUUCCCAGUGUAGAGGUGAAAUUCGUAGAUAUUGGGAAGAACACCGGUGGCGAAGGCGGCUCACUGGCUCGUAUCUGACGCUCAGGCGCGAUAGCGUGGGGAUCAAACAGG